CUAGAAUUAUUUAUUUUAUGUUUACAGUUUGGGCGGGCCAAAAAGGCAAUUUUUGGGAGAUGUGUAAUGUGGAAAGGAAAUAGUAGCCAUUUGUAGUUCACAUAUGUUGUUGCUGACUGGUGACUCACUUUGUUGACUCAUUUUGUAGCAGCUUGGCCUGCAACUACUCUACCAUCCUCUAGAUCCUCCUUCAGCUUCUCCAACUCCUGGCCUAUGUAUGUGUGUUUAUGACAAACAGCCCCAGCUUCUGAAGGAUACCCUCACCACCAAGGUCAAAGGCAACAAGAACUAACAUGGAUUUCAGUCCAUUUUCAUGAGGUUCAAGUUUGUACUUGUGACUUCCAGCCUGACCUUGACUUCUCCCACUUUACUUCCAUCUUCCUUUCUGACUACUCUGCCAACAUCAAAUUCUAGCAUCAGACACAACAGCAUUAUAAGAGUGCCUAACUAGCUCUCAUAAUUGUGUAAGCCAAUUCUCUUUAACAAAUCCAUAUGUACAUAUACAUAUAUUCAAUUACUUGUUUUGUGUCUCUGGUUGAACACUGACUGAUAUAUCAGGGAUAAAGAAGGUCAUUUCAUUAUGAAAAAGGAGUCAAUCAAGAGGCAUAACAGGCUGGGCAUGGUAGGCCACACCUGAAAUCCCAGCACUUUGGAAGGCUGAGGAUUACAGGCCUAAGCUGCGCCUGGCCAAAAAGAAAGCUGUUUUUUUAAAACUAUCUGCACUCCCUACUUGGGAGGGUUGGACUCAAGUUCCCACAUCUCUUUCCUCUUACGGUUAUAUUAAGGGCUUAGUCAUACAUCCCUAAAUUUCAUAUAUCCCAACAGGGACUUGGGCUGGGACAGGAAGCCCUCUUCCUCCACCUCAACUACCACUUAGCCACCCACCAUUUUCUCAAACCUCUUCCUUUCCCCACCGGACAGCUUAAACCAAGUCACACGUCUCAUUGGUCUCAACAGAAAUGAGGUCCCAACUCCUCAUUUCCCAAGAUAUUUCCAUGAACACAGCAAUAUCCUUUCCUACCCUGAUUACCCCGCACCCUCCAUUUCGGGUCCUUCUCACCCUGAUCAGUGAGAAUUGUUCUAGCAAGCAAACCUUAAAUAGACCUCGUACCCUUUCUAGAUUGCAAAGUAGAUAAAAAUCCAACUUUCCGUUAAUUCAGGGAUUAAUUACUGAGCAUCACUUAUUUCUUGGGCAGUGGUUCUCAAAAUGUGGUCCCAGGACCAACAGCUUCAGGAUCACCUGAGAACCUGGGCUGCCACCGCCCCCUCCCCCACUACUAAAUC
rnacentral:lncRNA from 1 species